rnacentral:rRNA from 1 species
AUACGAAGGGGGCUAGCGUUGUUCGGAAUUACUGGGCGUAAAGCGCGCGUAGGCGGUUUUGCAAGCCAGAGGUGAAAUGCCUGAGCUCAACUUGGGAACUGCCUUUGGGACUGCGAGGCUUCGAGGACGGGAGAGGUGAGUGGAAUUCCCAGUGUAGAGGUGAAAUUCGUAGAUAUUGGGAAGAACACCGGUGGCGAAGGCGGCCACCUGGACCGGUACUGACGCUGAGGCGCGAAAGCGUGGGGAGCAAACAGGAUUAGAAACCCCGGUAGUCC